rnacentral:rRNA from 1 species
AUUAGUGGCGACGGGUGAGUAACACGUGGGCAAUCUGCCCUUCACUCUGGGACAAGCCCUGGAAACGGGGUCUAAUACCGGAUAACACCGGCUUCCGCAUGGGAGCUGGUUAAAAGCUCCGGCGGUGAAGGAUGAGCCCGCGGCCUAUCAGCUUGUUGGUGGGGUAAUGGCCUACCAAGGCGACGACGGGUAGCCGGCCUGAGAGGGCGACCGGCCACACUGGGACUGAGACACGGCCCAGACUCCUACGGGAGGCAGCAGUGGGGAAUAUUGCACAAUGGGCGAAAGCCUGAUGCAGCGACGCCGCGUGAGGGAUGACGGCCUUCGGGUUGUAAACCUCUUUCAGCAGGGAAGAAGCGAAAGUGACGGUACCUGCAGAAGAAGCGCCGGCUAACUACGUGCCAGCAGCCGCGGUAAUACGUAGGGCGCAAGCGUUGUCCGGAAUUAUUGGGCGUAAAGAGCUCGUAGGCGGCUUGUCACGUCGGGUGUGAAAGCCCGGGGCUUAACCCCGGGUCUGCAUCCGAUACGGGCAGGCUAGAGUGUGGUAGGGGAGAUCGGAAUUCCUGGUGUAGCGGUGAAAUGCGCAGAUAUCAGGAGGAACACCGGUGGCGAAGGCGGAUCUCUGGGCCAUUACUGACGCUGAGGAGCGAAAGCGUGGGGGAGCGAACAGGAUUAGAUACCCUGGUAGUCCACGCCGUAAACGUUGGGGAACUAGGUGUUGGCGACAUUCCACGUCGUCGGUGCCGCAGCUAACGCAUUAGUUCCCCGCCUGGGGGAGUACGGCCGCAGGCUAAACUCAAGGAUUUGACGGGGGCCCGCACAGCAGCGGAGCAUGUGCUGUCGACGCACG